rnacentral:rRNA from 1 species
UACGUAGGGGGCAAGCGUUGUCCGGAAUCAUUGGGCGUAAAGAGCGCGUAGGCGGCCCUGUAAGUCCGCUGUGAAAGUCAAGGGCUCAACCCUUGGAUGCCGGUGGAUACUGCAGGGCUAGAGUCCGGAAGAGGCGAGUGGAAUUCCUGGUGUAGCGGUGGAAUGCGCAGAUAUCAGGAGGAACACCGAUAGCGAAGGCAGCUCGCUGGGACGGUACUGACGCUGAGGUGCGAAAGCGUGGGGAGCGAACAGG